GCCUGGGUGGCUCAGUGGUUGAGCAUCUGCCUUUGGCUCAGGACGUGUUCCUAGAGUUCCGGGAUCGAGUCCCGCCUCGGGCU
rnacentral:tRNA from 1 species